rnacentral:rRNA from 1 species
GCGUGUGCGGGGGGGGGAGCGGGGGGAGUUCGGAGGGUGGAGGCGUGAUCCGGAUGUAUUUGGGUUGAAGGGUCGGUAGGCGGUCUUGUAAGACAGUUGUGAAAUGCGGCAGCGUAACUGUCGAACUGCCAUUGAGACUGCAAGGCUUGAGUAAAGUAGAAGUGGCGGGAAUAAGUAGUGUAGCGGUGAAAUGCAUAGAUAUUACUUAGAACACCAAUUGCGAAGGCAGGUCACUAUGUUUUAACUGACGCUGAUGGACGAAAGCGUGGGUAGCGAACAGGAUUAGAUACCCUAGUAGUC